ensembl:snoRNA SNORD115 Small nucleolar RNA SNORD115
GGGCAAUGAUGAGAACUCACAUGUUCUUGAUGAGAUAAUGACCUAUAAUCAUGCACAACAGGAUUUCGCUGAGGCUC